AUUGGCGUCAAGCCAUGGAUGAUGAGUUCACCGCACUCAUGCAAACUGGCAUGUGGGAGUUAGUCCCUCACUCCAUAACCCACAAUAUCAUUAGCUGCAAGUGGAUUUUUUGGAUAAAGCACAAGCCUGAUGGUAGCAUUGAGUGCUAUAAGGCUAGCCUUGUUGCUAAGGGGUUUCACUAGCGCCCGAGGGUCGAUUUUACUGCCACUUUCUCUCUGAUUCUCAAGCCUAUUACUUUGAGGGUAAUCCUUGUCAUUGUUGUUUCAAAUUCUUGAGCAAUUAAGCAAUUGGAU
rnacentral:misc_RNA from 1 species